UACGAAGGGGGCUAGCGUUGCUCGGAAUCACUGGGCGUAAAGCGCACGUAGGCGGCUUCUUAAGUCAGGGGUGAAAUCCUGGAGCCCAACUCCAGAACUGCCUUUGAUACUGGGAGUCUCGAGUCCGGGAGAGGUGAGUGGAACUGCGAGUGUAGAGGUGAAAUUCGUAGAUAUUCGCAAGAACACCAGUGGCGAAGGCGGCUCACUGGCCCGGUACUGACGCUGAGGUGCGAAAGCGUGGGGAGCAAACAGG
rnacentral:rRNA from 1 species